rnacentral:rRNA from 1 species
ACCCCUGAUAAGGGUGAGGUCGGUGGUUCAAGUCCACUCAGGCCUACCAAAUUUGCACGGCAAAUUUGAAGAGGUUUUAACUACAUGUUAUGGGGCUAUAGCUCAGCUGGGAGAGCGCCUGCUUUGCACGCAGGAGGUCUGCGGUUCGAUCCCGCAUAGCUCCACCAUCUCUGUAGUGAUUAAAUAAAAAAUACUUCAGAGUGUACCUGCAAAGGUUCACUGCGAAGUUUUGCUCUUUAAAAAUCUGGAUCAAGCUGAAAAUUGAAACACUGAACAACGCAAGUUGUUCGUGAGUCUCUCAAAUUUUCGCAACACGAUGAUGAAUCGAAAGAAACAUCUUCGGGUUGUGAGGUUAAGCGACUAAGCGUACACGGUGGAUGCCCUGGCAGUCAGAGGCGAUGAAGGACGUGCUAAUCUGCGAUAAGCGUCGGUAAGGUGAUAUGAACCGUUAUAACCGGCGAUUUCCGAAUGGGGAAACCCAGUGUGNGUGACUGCGUACCUUUUGUAUAAUGGGUCAGCGACUUAUAUUCUGUAGCAAGGUUAACCGAAUAGGGGAGCCGAAGGGAAACCGAGUCUUAACUGGGCGUUAAGUUGCAGGGUAUAGACCCGAAACCCGGUGAUCUAGCCAUGGGCAGGUUGAAGGUUGGGUAACACUAACUGGAGGACCGAACCGACUAAUGUUGAAAAAUUAGCGGAUGACUUGUGGCUGGGGGUGAAAGGCCAAUCAAACCGGGAGAUAGCUGGUUCUCCCCGAAAGCUAUUUAGGUAGCGCCUCGUGAAUUCAUCUCCGGGGGUAGAGCACUGUUUCGGCAAGGGGGUCAUCCCGACUUACCAACCCGAUGCAAACUGCGAAUACCGGAGAAUGUUAUCACGGGAGACACACGGCGGGUGCUAACGUCCGUCGUGAAGAGGGAAACAACCCAGACCGCCAGCUAAGGUCCCAAAGUCAUGGUUAAGUGGGAAACGAUGUGGGAAGGCCCAGACAGCCAGGAUGUUGGCUUAGAAGCAGCCAUCAUUUAAAGAAAGCGUAAUAGCUCACUGGUCGAGUCGGCCUGCGCGGAAGAUGUAACGGGGCUAAACCAUGCACCGAAGCUGCGGCAGCGACACUGUGUGUUGUUGGGUAGGGGAGCGUUCUGUAAGCCUGUGAAGGUGUNAUGCUNAUGCUGGAGGUAUCAGAAGUGCGAAUGCUGACAUAAGUAACGAUAAAGCGGGUGAAAAGCCCGCUCGCCGGAAGACCAAGGGUUCCUGUCCAACGUUAAUCGGGGCAGGGUGAGUCGACCCCUAAGGCGAGGCCGAAAGGCGUAGUCGAUGGGAAACAGGUUAAUAUUCCUGUACUUGGUGUUACUGCGAAGGGGGGACGGAGAAGGCUAUGUUGGCCGGGCGACGGUUGUCCCGGUUUAAGCGUGUAGGCUGGUUUUCCAGGCAAAUCCGGAAAAUCAAGGCUGAGGCGUGAUGACGAGGCACUACGGUGCUGAAGCAACAAAUGCCCUGCUUCCAGGAAAAGCCUCUAAGCAUCAGGUAACAUCAAAUCGUACCCCAAACCGACACAGGUGGUCAGGUAGAGAAUACCAAGGCGCUUGAGAGAACUCGGGUGAAGGAACUAGGCAAAAUGGUGCCGUAACUUCGGGAGAAGGCACGCUGAUAUGUAGGUGAAGUCCCUCGCGGAUGGAGCUGAAAUCAGUCGAAGAUACCAGCUGGCUGCAACUGUUUAUUAAAAACACAGCACUGUGCAAACACGAAAGUGGACGUAUACGGUGUGACGCCUGCCCGGUGCCGGAAGGUUAAUUGAUGGGGUCAGCGCAAGCGAAGCUCUUGAUCGAAGCCCCGGUAAACGGCGGCCGUAACUAUAACGGUCCUAAGGUAGCGAAAUUCCUUGUCGGGUAAGUUCCGACCUGCACGAAUGGCGUAAUGAUGGCCAGGCUGUCUCCACCCGAGACUCAGUGAAAUUGAACUCGCUGUGAAGAUGCAGUGUACCCGCGGCAAGACGGAAAGACCCCGUGAACCUUUACUAUAGCUUGACACUGAACAUUGAGCCUUGAUGUGUAGGAUAGGUGGGAGGCUUUGAAGUGUGGACGCCAGUCUGCAUGGAGCCGACCUUGAAAUACCACCCUUUAAUGUUUGAUGUUCUAACGUGGACCCGUGAUCCGGGUUGCGGACAGUGUCUGGUGGGUAGUUUGACUGGGGCGGUCUCCUCCUAAAGAGUAACGGAGGAGCACGAAGGUUGGCUAAUCCUGGUCGGACAUCAGGAGGUUAGUGCAAUGGCAUAAGCCAGCUUGACUGCGAGCGUGACGGCGCGAGCAGGUGCGAAAGCAGGUCAUAGUGAUCCGGUGGUUCUGAAUGGAAGGGCCAUCGCUCAACGGAUAAAAGGUACUCCGGGGAUAACAGGCUGAUACCGCCCAAGAGUUCAUAUCGACGGCGGUGUUUGGCACCUCGAUGUCGGCUCAUCACAUCCUGGGGCUGAAGUAGGUCCCAAGGGUAUGGCUGUUCGCCAUUUAAAGUGGUACGCGAGCUGGGUUUAGAACGUCGUGAGACAGUUCGGUCCCUAUCUGCCGUGGGCGCUGGAGAACUGAGGGGGGCUGCUCCUAGUACGAGAGGACCGGAGUGGACGCAUCACUGGUGUUCGGGUUGUCAUGCCAAUGGCACUGCCCGGUAGCUAAAUGCGGAAGAGAUAAGUGCUGAAAGCAUCUAAGCACGAAACUUGCCCCGAGAUGAGUUCU